rnacentral:tRNA from 1 species
GGCGCCAUCGUCUAAUGGUUAGGACAGCGGCUUUUCAAGCCACUAAUCGGGGUUCGAUUCCCCGUGGCGCUG